GGCAAAGGUGAGCCUGGCUGCUCUUGG
rnacentral:piRNA from 1 species